GACGAACGCUGGCGGCGUGCUUAACACAUGCAAGUCGAACGGUGAUCUUGGGAGCUUGCUCUUGGGUGAUCAGUGGCGAACGGGUGAGUAACACGUGAGUAACCUGCCCCUGACUCUGGAAUAACUUCGGGAAACCGAGGCUAAUACCGGAUACGACACAGAGCUGCAUGGCUACUGUGUGGAAAGUUUUUCGGUUGGGGAUGGACUCGCGGCCUAUCAGCUUGUUGGUGAGGUAAUGGCCCACCAAGGCGACGACGGGUAGCCGGCCUGAGAGGGCGCUCGGCCACACUGGGACUGAGACACGGCACAGACUCCUACGGGAGGCAGCAGUGGGGAAUAUUGCACAAUGGGCGAAAGCCUGAUGCAGCGACGCCGCGCGAGGGAUGAAGGCCUUCGGGUUGUAAACCUCUUUCAGUAGGGAAGAAGCGCAAGUGACGGUACCUACAGAAGAAGCACCGGCUAACUACGUGCCAGCCGCCGCCGUAACAC
rnacentral:rRNA from 1 species